rnacentral:rRNA from 1 species
AGCGAACGCUGGCGGCAGGCCUAACACAUGCAAGUCGAACGAAGUCUUCGGACUUAGUGGCGGACGGGUGAGUAACACGUGGGAACGUGCCUUUAGGUUCGGAAUAACUCAGGGAAACUUGUGCUAAUACCGAAUGUGCCCUUCGGGGGAAAGAUUUAUCGCCUUUAGAGCGGCCCGCGUCUGAUUAGCUAGUUGGUGAGGUAAAGGCUCACCAAGGCGACGAUCAGUAGCUGGUCCGAGAGGAGGAUCAGCCACAUUGGGACUGAGACACGGCCCAACCUCCUACGGGAGGCAGCAGUGGGGAAUAUUGCGCAAUGGGGGAAAGCCGGACGCAGCCAUGCCGCGUGAAUGAUGAAGGUCUUAGGAUUGUAAAAUUCUUUCACCGGGGACGAUAAUGACGGUACCCGGAGAAGAAGCCCCGGCUAACUUCGUGCCAGCAGCCGCCGUAAAAC